UUGUCAGUUUGUUUCCAGGAA
rnacentral:piRNA from 1 species